UACGUAGGUGGCAAGCGUUGUCCGGAAUUAUUGGGCGUAAAGCGCGCGCAGGCGGUCCUUUAAGUCUGAUGUGAAAGCCCACGGCUCAACCGUGGAGGGUCAUUGGAAACUGGGGGACUUGAGUGCAGGAGAGAAGAGUGGAAUUCCACGUGUAGCGGUGAAAUGCGUAGAGAUGUGGAGGAACACCAGUGGCGAAGGCGACUCUGUGGCCUGUAACUGACGCUGAGGCGCGAAAGCGUGGGGAGCAAACAGG
rnacentral:rRNA from 1 species